UACGUAGGUGGCAAGCGUUAUCCGGAUUUAUUGGGUGUAAAGGGCGUGUAGGCGGGAGCGCAAGUCAGGUGUGAAAACUCAGGGCUCAACCCUGAGCCUGCAUUUGAAACUGUGUUUCUUGAGUGCUGGAGAGGCAAUCGGAAUUCCGUGUGUAGCGGUGAAAUGCGUAGAUAUACGGAGGAACACCAGUGGCGAAGGCGGAUUGCUGGACAGUAACUGGCGCUGAGGCGCGAAAGCGUGGGGAGCAAACAGG
rnacentral:rRNA from 1 species